rnacentral:rRNA from 1 species
GUAGGAGGCAAGCGUUAUCCGGAAUGACUGGGCGUAAAGGGUGCGUAGGUGGUUUGGCAAGUUGGUAGCGUAAUCCCGGGGCUCAACCUCGGUGCUACUACCAAAACUGUUGAACUUGAGUGCAGGAGGGGUGAAUGGAAUUCCCAGUGUAGCGGUGGAAUGCGUAGAUAUUGGGAAGAACACCAGCGGCGAAGGCGAUUCACUGGACUGUAACUGACACUGAGGCACGAAAGCGUGGGGAGCAAA